rnacentral:rRNA from 1 species
GGACUACUGGGGUAUCUAAUCCCGUUUGCUCCCCACGCUUUCGCGCCUCAGCGUCAGUACCAGUCCAGUGAGCCGCCUUCGCCACUGGUGUUCCUCCCAAUAUCUACGCAUUUCACCGCUACACUGGGAAUUCCACUCACCUCUCCUGGUCUCAAGCUAAGCAGUUUGGACGGCAGUUCCUCGGUUAAGCCGAGGGAUUUCACCAUCCACUUGCCAAGCCGCCUACGCGCCCUUUACGCCCAAUAAUUCCGAAUAACGCUUGCCCCCUCUGUAUUACCGCGGCGGCUGGCAC